UACGUAGGUGGCAAGCGUUGUCCGGAUUUACUGGGCGUAAAGCGUGUGUAGGCGGACCUUUAAGUAGAAAGUGAAAGGUAGGAGCUCAACUCCUACAUUGCUCUCUAUAACUGGAGGUCUUGAGUGUCGGAGAGGAAGAUGGAACUGCACGUGUAGCGGUGAAAUGCGUUGAGAUGUGCAGGAACACCAAUGGCGAAGGCAAUCUUCUGGACGAAAACUGACGCUGAGACACGAAAGCCAAGGUAGCAAACAGG
rnacentral:rRNA from 1 species